rnacentral:rRNA from 1 species
GUGCCAGCAGCCGCGGUAAUACGUAGGGUGCGAGCGUUAAUCGGAAUUACUGGGCGUAAGCGUGCGCAGGCGGUUAUAUAAGACAGUUGCGAAAUCCCCGGGCUUAACCUGGGAAUGGCGCUUGUGACUGCACGACUGGAGUGCGGCAGAGGGGGAUGGAAUUCCGCGUGUAGCAGUGAAAUGCGUAGAUAUGCGGAGGAACACCGAUGGCGAAGGCAGUCCCCUGGGCCUGCACUGACGCUCAUGCACGAAAGCGUGGGGAGCAAACAGGAUUAGAUA